UACCUUGUUACGACUUCACCCCAGUCAUGAAUCCCACCGUGGUAAGCGCCCCCCUCGCGGUUAGGCUACCUACUUCUGGUGAAACCCACUCCCAUGGUGUGACGGGCGGUGUGUACAAGACCCGGGAACGUAUUCACCGCGGCAUGCUGAUCCGCGAUUACUAGCGAUUCCGACUUCAUGCAGUCGAGUUGCAGACUGCAAUCCGGACUACGAUCGGCUUUCUGGGAUUGGCUCCACCUCGCGGCUUGGCUACCCUCUGUACCGACCAUUGUAUGACGUGUGAAGCCCUACCCAUAAGGGCCAUGAGGACUUGACGUCAUCCCCACCUUCCUCCGGUUUGUCACCGGCAGUCUCAUUAGAGUGCCCAACUUAAUGAUGGCAACUAAUGACAAGGGUUGCGCUCGUUGCGGGACUUAACCCAACAUCUCACGCCACGCGCUGACGACAGCCAUGAAGAACC
rnacentral:rRNA from 1 species